UGCAGAGGAAACAGAGGAGAGGGUGUGGGUGAUGUCGGGGAGAAGAAGGGGAGGAAGGAGAAGAAGAGAAGAAGAAGAAAGGAAGGAAAAGGAAGAGGAGAAGGGAAGAAAGUAGCUGCGGCUGCGGUUGUGGCAGCUGCAGCUGUGGCAGGGAAAGAAGAAGAGAAAGGAAGAAGGGGAGGAGAGGAAGAAGAGUAGGGGCUGCGGCUGCGGCGAUGGCAGCUGCAGUUGGAAGAGAAGAAGGAGAGGAAGAUGAGCAGGGGAGGAAGAAAAGGCUGUGGCCGUGGCUGAGGCUGCGACUGCAGCAUGCAGCUGGGAAAGAAGAGAAGGAAAGGAAGAAGAAGAGAAAGGAAGAAGGGAAGGAGAGGAAGAAGAGAAGGGGCUGCGGCUGUGGCGAUGGCAGCUGCAGUUGGAAGAGAAGAAGGAGAGGAAGAUGAGCAGGGGAGGAAGAAAAGGCUGUGGCCGUGGCUGAGGCUGCGACUGCAGCAUGCAGCUGGGAAAGAAGAGAAGGAAAGGAAGAAGAAGAGAAAGGAAGAAGGGAAGGAGAGGAAGAAGAGAAGGGGCUACGGCUGCGGCGAUAGCAGCUGCAGUUGGAAGAGAAGAAGGAGAGGAAGAUGAGCAGGGGAGGAAGAAGAGGCUGCGAGUGUGGUGGCUGCGGCCGUGGCUGCGACUCCGGCUGCGGCUGCAACGUUGGCUGCGGUAGCUGCGGCAGCGGUGGUGGCUGCAGUAGCUGCAGUAGCUGCUUUUGGGAAAGAGAAAGAGUAGGAACGAGAGAAGGGAAGAAGGAAAUAGUGCAGUGGAAGGGGGCUGCGGUUGUGACCGCAGUUGCGGUCGUGGCUGCGAUUGUGGCAGCGGCGGUGACGGCGGCUGUGGCAGCUGCGUUUGGGAAAGAAAAAAAGAAGGAAUGAGAGUAAGAGAGAGCAGGUGACUGUGCCUCGAUGUUCGACACGUGGUGUAGUUGCGAAGAAAGGAAGAAAACGGGAGCACAAAACGAAACAGAGAGAGGACACGGAAGAAAAGUAGAAGGAUCUGAGCUGGCACCUUCUUUGGAUCUUCGGAUCGAAAUCUUUGAAAGGUCAGCUUGUCACUCUUCGAGAUGUUUGAUUUGGGCUGAGGCAGUGGAUAGCUAUUCAGAAUAAUGGGCAAGUCUGGUUGGUUAUUACGAUAUUGUUGUAUAAGUAUGUCUUGUAUGUAAUGAAAUGUUGUCGAUGAACCGAAAUGGAUAUACUGUAUCAAAGUGUUAGGAGAUCUCUCUUAUUUGGAAUUUCAGAAUGUUAAGUCUAAUUUAUGGUGAUAUGAACUUGUGGUGAAUAGUUGGAGUUCUGAUUGUAUAAUUUAUUUAGCUUGUGGAUUUAUAAAUGUUGUUCAUGUUUGUCAA